UUGAUACUGUAGAGCUAGGAUUAGGUUGCUGUGGGCGGAAUGUGUGGUGUAGCGGUGAAAUGCUUAGAGAUCACACAGAAUAUCGAUUGCGAAGGCAGCUCACAAAGCCUAAAUUGACGCUGAGGCACGAAAGUGUGGGGAUCGAACAGGAUUAGAUACCCUGGUAGUCCACACUGUAAACGAUGAUAACUCGCUGUCGGCGAUAUACAGUCGGUGGCCAAGCGAAAGCGAUAAGUUAUCCACCUGGGGAGUACGACCGCAAGGUUGAAACUCAAAGGAAUUGACGGGGGCCCGCACAAGCGGAGGAACAUGUGGUUUAAUUCGAUGAUACGCGAGGAACCUUACCCGGGCUCGAACGGUGCAUGAAUGUCAGAGAGAUUUGACAGUCCUUCGGGACAUGUAUCGAGGUGCUGCAUGGUUGUCGUCAGCUCGUGCCGUGAGGUGUCGGCUUAAGUGCCAUAACGAGCGCAAC
rnacentral:rRNA from 1 species